UUUUUUUUUCUUGAGAUGUAUAAUUCUACCAACGAAACGUAAAAACAGAUGUUUUAUGAUGGUGAGCGCAUGGAAGAACUUUGUUUUUUCUACCACCUGAAGAACCUGUUCUUUUCUAUGUUUCUUCCCUAUCCUUUGUGCUACAACAGUGAACCUCUUUUCUGUCACCAUUUGGAGUUCUACAGGGUCUGUUGUUUCCAUUUCAUCAUUUCAUGCGUUCUCACCUUCUUAUUUGCCUUUAUCUCUCUAGGAUGGCACGUUGUGGUACACUGAUCACUGCCUGUUUGACCUCAUGCUUGGUUGUGAUACUGGUCUCGUUGAAGACCAUGAUUGUCUUGCUUGCCUGCGUUAGCACUUGUUCCAAGGUUGUUGGUUUUUAUGCCCAUCUUUCUCAUUUUCAUUCAGUUAUCUGUCCUGCACUUUUGAGCUCCUAACUGCAUGUCUCCAAUCUGGGUGUCUAGGCUUGACCCAACAUCUCACGCCUAUAACCUGUUUCAUUGGCAUUUCUGGGGUCUAAACACCACACUUACAUGGGGAUGCCUAUGCCAGCUGUGGUUGCAUAGAUACAAAAGGAAGUAAAAUAAUGAAAUGCUUGGCUUGGGGAGCUAAAUAUCACUUGUUAGCUGACAAGCAUAUCCUGCUCAUUAGUAUUUCUUGAAUUUGUACAUUUUGGAUUCAUUUGUUUGCUUUUGUUGAAUAUAGUAAGAUGUCUGCAAAGGACUUGCUUGCAUAUACCACAUCGUUCUUUGGGUAUAUUUGAUGUGAUGAGCGCGCCCUACUUUUAGGCUAUUUGCUGAAAUGCUAGAGAAGAUUCUCAUUUUGCUUGUAAUGGUUGUUCGUCAAAAUUCUUGAUUUGUUAGGGUAGAUGGUGAACCAGGUUUGGGCCCAAUCAGUUUACUUUCAAGAUUAGCCAUUUUGCUGUGUUCCUAGGUCAGAAGAAUGAGAUUUGCACGCACAUCCUUCCUAUUCAACUAACUGGUUUUAGUAUGAAGUUGGAAAACUUUAGUAGAAUGAUCAACUUGUAUUUUAUUUUCUUUGAGCUGCUACUGUAUUUAUGCUUAUGGUCAAAUUGUUGGAAUUAUUUUGGAAGGUGAAUGCUUUACCGUCCUAAAAUUUAACACAUUUAUCUGUUGAAGCACUUGGGCAUAUAUUUGCUGCUUAGGGAACUUUGAGAUAUAGGUGUAAUUGUAAUUUUUGAAGUCAAAAAUAUCUGAGGAUUCAUUCUCCAUUUUUCAUUUAUGAUCACUCUUAGCAUCUUCUAUAUAGUUUUGACAGUCCCUGUAGUUUCGCCAUUAGCAUUCACUCUAUGAUCCAAUCUAGCCCUCCCUGCAGUUUGUUGGUCUUGACAGUGUUGCCUCAUGUCAAAACAUGAGCUUCUUUUCAGGUUUUUAAGAGCUGAAAGCCUUAAGAUUUUCUUCUUAAGCUAGUGGGUGUAAAUACUUCAAAUUACAAGCUCUCUAUGUCAGAUACAUAUUUGAUAUUGAUAUUUGCUGGAUAUUUUUAGAACAUGUAUCCUAUUUUUCAAAACCUAAGAAAAGGCUGCGGGUACUUCUCGGAUAUGCCUAGGUAACUUCAGGGAGGGGAGGAAGAAGGGGCUUUAUUUUCUGAUAUGUCAUUUUGAUAUUCCAUAAUGCUUUACAGAUGCCUUUUUACUCACAUAUAUUUGUCGUGCGUGUGGUUGAAUGAAUGGAGUAAAUGGAUGUAAUGUAUGCAUCAUAUGUAUCAAUCUAAAUAUUCAUGUAUCCUUCCAUCCAUCCUAGCCACAAAAAUUCAGCAUAUCUGUAUCCUACAUCCAUGCUUCAAAGUCCUUAAGCUGCUAGGUAGAAUUGGUUAUAUUUUGUGGAAAUGAGACAAACUACCAGGAUUAGUCAUUUGUUUAUCUGUCAUAUUAAUGCAAGUCUAUAGAGCACAUUUUAAAGACAACAUAGAUAAGUUUGCAGUCUUGUAAGAAACUUAGGAUCAAGCAAGGUUUAAGGUUCCAGUUGAAACCAAUCUGUUUCUGCUGGAUUGGAUUGAUUUCAGCUAAGACCAAUCAGAAAUGGACUGAAAAUUUAGAUUUUGGUUAGUUCCAUCCCAAGGGAAACUUCUUUUUAGCUUUUUGUUAUCACAUCUAGGAUGUUUUCUUCUUUUUAAAAUUCAUCAGUGUAAUCCAAUUAUACAUUUAUCUAAGGCUCUAAUGAUCUAAAUCUCUAUUUUAAUUCCUUAUUUUUUUGAAACUUUUGACCAAAACUCUGAUAUUCAGAGUGAAACCACUAAAAAUGUUGACCCCUGAGGAUGGUUUUUUUUUGUUUUUGUUUUUUUUGAGGGUUGGGGGGGUGUGGGUGGGUGCUGAAACGAGGCCUCUAUCUGGGAAACUAAAAUCGGACCAAAAAUUUUAAAAUAUUGGAAAUAUACACUUGAGUUUUCUUUAAAUUAUAACUCAGGGUUGCCUACAAAGAAUCUCCUUUCUUUCAAUAGAUGAUUGUUUAUUGUUGAACUGUUGAGGUGGAUAUUGACUUGGAUGCAGAGUAGGGUUAAAGAUGGAUAGGGGAACCAUGAGAUGUAUUUGUCAAAAUACAAGGCAUCAAAUUAUGGUCAUUUGUAUGAAUGUUUUUGAUCCAUACAAUGUCAUACGGACAUACAUACACACACAUACAUAUAUAUGAACAGAUUGGAUAUCAGUUCUUGCUUGUAGUGCUGCCUUAUAAUAUUUACGAAGGUUCUCAAAUAUUUCAUGAUAAACUCAUUGUGGCUGAUAUAAAAACUAGUUUCAUUGAUUCAAGAUUAGUUGAUUCAUUAUUAUGAUUUUUAACAUAUGAGGCAGGUUAGGAGAGAAGAAGCUAGGAUCACGCUGCUGCAUUGUUACGGUUGUAUUGCACAACUUUUGAUAAAAUACAAUGCAUCGAAUUAUUGUCCUAUUCAUAUAUAUGUUUCUGAUCAACAGUUUCCAAGAUUUCUUGCACCUUAAUUUCCUUUUCUGCUUUCAUAUAAAACUACUACUUUUCCUAUGCCCAUCAGGCUUCAGUGCCUAAUGGUUUUCGAUCAUGUAAUAGCACAAAAUGCUUGGAUUCUGAACCUCUUUUUUUUCCCCCUUUGUUCAGGUAUAUCGAUGCAAUGCAAAUGUGACAGAAGGCAGACCUGUAGUUUAGUGGCAAUUCAAUUUUAAUGCUCGAUCGUAGUAUGUCAAAAUUUUUGACACGCUACUGAACUGGUUACUAUUUUUGCAGUGUUCUUUGAGGAAGUGGAACUUAAUUUACAUAUUAGAAUAUUAUCGAAUUAUGUUCUCUUUUAUAACGAGCAAGCCUGAUAAAUUGGGAGGCCAGAACAUCUGGUCGUUUGGGAGCUUAGAUUGUCUUGGAGGGUCGGGGUUGCAGGGAGCUGCUACCCUUGGUUGAUCUAGUGCAUUCCAACACAUGGACCAAAGUAAUACAUCUCAAAGCCCUACUUUUAAGCGAGGAGGAAAAGAAAAUGAUUGGUGAAACUAAGACCGGGUGGAGCCUGCACUACCUCUGACUUUGCCUUAACUUGGGCUUUGCCGUUGCUUCUUCGGUGCCGAUGGUGAUGAGUGCAGGUCUCCGCUGCUACCCAGUGGUGCAUGGGACUUGUAUCUGCAUUUCUUUUUCUUCCUCUUUCUCAUCAUAAUUUUAGAUUUCUUCCUUCCUAGCCUCCAAUCGGGUCACCCGUGACAACUAGUCUGCUCAUGGCAGAUGACAUGGGAGUAGGGCCGCUACUGGCUUGGAUCUGGUGACAGCAGCAGGCAAAGUGGAAAGCAACCCCUUGGUACGUUAGUGCAGGUGAAAAUUUUGGAUCAAAGAACUAUAUCAUCAAAUAUUUAACUGAGAUGAAAUAUUUAGCCGGCAAGGUAUCAACUUCUUCACCUGCCGCAUGACAUGUUUUAAGGUACUUGUUAUGAUAUGAUGGUAACGGCGACAAAUUGGUUUUACUGAGGGGUUUGGUGCUCUUGAUAGUAAAGCACUAAUGGUCUCUGAUGUUAAUAAUAUGAUAAAAUCCUUGAUAAAAAAAAGAAGCACUAAUUAUCUCUGAAGGUCAUAAUGUGAUAUAAAAUCCUGUGUAAAAGCGCUAGUGUUUUCUAAUGUUCAUGAUAUGAUAAAAUCUGAAACUGAAAUUUAGGUUUUGAACUGCGAGACGGGGUUGGCUGGGCGCUGUUCCGGCCAGGCCGGAUGGACACGUCCAUGAGUUGUUGCAGUCCCCUGCAUUUAGGAUGCUGGCUUCCGACUGCCAUGCCAUUGAUGACCACCCAUUGUUCCCUGAGAUUGAAGGGUUCAUUUGGGAGGUGGAUGCGACCCCGAUCAUGGAAGAGCUGAUGAGGAGCGAAAAUACCAACAUUGCAUACUGGGGUAGACGUGUUGGAGAAUGGAGCAUGUUUUCCAAGGAAUAGGGAAAACGGAGUUUUGACAAUAAGUGGUAAACGGUGAGGAAAAUGGGCCCAAUGAUGGACCUCAUGAGGAGUAAAGACAGCACCAGGCUUGCAGGCAACUACUCUUCGUUGGUUCAACCUGCAACACAAACUGUAUGUCGCGAUAUAUAUUUUAAAUAAAUGCAAUGACUAUUUAUGAAUUAGCGGUCUUGCAAUUUUCCAGCAAAAUUUCAAAUUACGAGCAAUUUAUUCUGUAGUUGGGAGGGUGUCUCGCUUCUUGUAUGACGAGAAAAAUCAUUUGAUUUAAAUGCAUUAUCUGGCUAGCCGUUCGUAAUCAUCUCAUCACCGUCGACAUCAUUCUCAUCAUGAUUAUUGCUGUGGUUCAAAUCUGGCCCGAGGGUGACCACGCCGGAGGAGUUGAAGGAGCUGCCGGAGUGCGGAGGACGACGAGGGGAGCCACCUCUUGCGAUAGAUCGGGGGUCUCUGCACGAAGCCUCACCGGUGUUUUCGGUGAGGGCUCCCGACGAUUAAGUUAGAAUGGAUUUUAGUAGGUCCAGCCAAAAGUCCCUUCAAUAUUACAUGUCAGAGGUUUUUAUAGUCCCGGUAGCGGUACUCAAGUAGCGGAGGCAUGGCCCGUUUCCAUCAUGAGGGGGAGUGGCGCGCGAUCAGAACUUGCUUGUGUCCGCGGUAGAGUCCGUUCCUAGGAAUGGUGAGGCGUUGACAGUCAUAGCAGGGUAUGGCCGGAGUAGCAUAGUGCUGUUCUUGGACUGCUGAGGGCAAGCUAGCAAAGCGUGGCGUAGUGGCGUCGCGAUGUAUGGCCACGUAGAAGAGCGCGGGCACGCAAAUGGGUGCUGCCGUCGGCAAGGCCGAACUCGCUGAGAGGUCGCAUCAUGCAUUUGGCGAGGUCGGCUUGACAGGUACCGAAGUAUGCCCGACGAGGUACCCCAAGCUCAGGGGUCGGGGCAUGUAAUUGGAAAGGGCGCCUCGAGCUCGGUUGGGGGCGCGUUGGCAAAUAAAGAGGGCGCCUCGAGCUCGGUUGGGGGCGCGUUGGCAAAUAAAGAGGACGUCCCGAACUUGGCUGGGGCGCGUCGCCGAAUAAGGAAGGCGCUCCGAACUUGGCUGGGGCGCAUCGGCGAAUGAGGAGGGCACCUCGAACUUGGCCGGAGCGCGUCGGCGAAUAUUCGAGGUUGGAGGAGCUUUUAACGAAGUCCGGGGUCAGGCUGAUCUGAGCCAGACCGAGAAUACGUCUGAUCGGCGUUGGUAUCUGUUGGGCCGAAAUUGGAUGGCCUUUUUGUUAUGGGCUGAACAAUCCAUUUCGGCCCCAUCAAUUAUUUAGUACAUCUAAGCAAUAAUCCAUUAAAAAUAAAAAAUAAAAAAACUGUGCUCUGGUUUGGUUAAAGCACUUUUUGUCUUCUCUCUCUCUCUUCUUUUUAUCUAUUAUGACGAUGACUAUUAAUAUGUUUCAUCUUUGAGGGAAAAUGAAGACGAGAAUCUCCACCUGGAAUGAUGGGACAUGACAUUUGUCUUAACCAGAGGGAAAGUUUUAUCCCCCCCAUGAAUAUUUAUUCCGCAUGAAUGUGUCCGUGAGUGUAUGGGAGAGAGAGAUCCAAAGUUUAACAGGAAGAGUAUCUGUUAAACGGUUGUCAUACAAUGCCGACAAUUUUAAGGCGUUUCAUUGUUUGCUGGCCGAGAUUUUUUUUUUUUUAAUUAGCAGAACCUUUUGGGUAAGAAAAGAUAAAAAUGAAGCCUGAUCAAACUUAUGAACUAUUUCAUAGAAAGAGGUAGAGAUAAUCCUAAACACACCCAUUAAGUUUUCAAACGAAUCCGAAAAGAUGUGAAUCUGAAAAGAUGUCAAUCUUCACUUGAUUACAAACCAUGGACCACGUCAGAGAAAGCAGGAAAGACAGCAAUCAUGCGUGGAAAAUCCUCAUCACGAUGGUCAAUUCAAGACAAAUAAAUAAAAUGUAGCAAUUUGCAAUAUAAGUAUGAAUUGGCCGGGAUUCGUACGAGAGCAGUGUUUGUCACGCAUGCAAAAGAAAUGAAGGCCACGGAGCCGGAGAAAGAGAAGAACAUGUCAACUCCGAGGAUGGUAACUAACUUACGAUACAAUCCCUCGAUCUUAUCCGAGAAUGAUCCAUUUUAAAAAGAUUUGGGACUGACGAGCUUGGGCUAUAAACGAACUAACCUGUUGAGAUGUAUUUAUUAAGUAGAUUGGAUUCAGAUUAGAUUUUUGAUCUAUUUAAUUUAUUUUAAAUUAUUUAAUAAUUGGAUCUAACUCAUUGAAUCGGUUUAACAAUUGUUUAAUCAAUUUAAAAUCCGCUUAACCUCUGUCCGACCCGUUUAUCUUCACUCACUUAAUCUAUUUAAUUUGUUUGACUCCAUUUAACUCAUUAAAAAUUUAUUUAACUAGUUUAACUCAUUUAAUCUGACUUGACAUAUUUAAUAAAUAAGUUACAUGAGUCGAAUUGAAUUAUAUAUUUAAUAAAUAGAUUAUAUUCAAAUGUAAAAUUUUAUUAUUUUUUUUUUUGCUAAAAACGGGUUUUCAUACAGUACGUGUACGAAUACAUCCAAUAAAGUCAAAAAAGACUAACUCACGGAGAGCCAGUGGCAGCUCCUCCUCCCCCACCCAAAAGGUGUACCCUGNNNNNNNNNNNNNNNNNNNNNNNNNNNNNNNNNNNNNNNNNNNNNNNNNNNNNNNNNNNNNNNNNNNNNNNNNNNNNNNNNNNNNNNNNNNNNNNNNNNNNNNNNNNNNNNNNNNNNNNNNNNNNNNNNNNNNNNNNNNNNNNNNNNNNNNNNNNNNNNNNNNNNNNNNNNNNNNNNNNNNNNNNNNNNNNNNNNNNNNNNNNNNNNNNNNNNNNNNNNNNNNNNNNNNNNNNNNNNNNNNNNNNNNNNNNNNNNNNNNNNNNNNNNNNNNNNNNNNNNNNNNNNNNNNNNNNNNNNNNNNNNNNNNNNNNNNNNNNNNNNNNNNNNNNNNNNNNNNNNNNNNNNNNNNNNNNNNNNNNNNNNNNNNNNNNNNNNNNNNNNNNNNNNNNNNNNNNNNNNNNNNNNNNNNNNNNNNNNNNNNNNNNNNNNNNNNNNNNNNNNNNNNNNNNNNNNNNNNNNNNNNNNNNNNNNNNNNNNNNNNNNNNNNNNNNNNNNNNNNNNNNNNNNNNNNNNNNNNNNNNNNNNNNNNNNNNNNNNNNNNNNNNNNNNNNNNNNNNNNNNNNNNNNNNNNNNNNNNNNNNNNNNNNNNNNNNNNNNNNNNNNNNNNNNNNNNNNNNNNNNNNNNNNNNNNNNNNNNNNNNNNNNNNNNNNNNNGGGGGGGUGUUGUGGGGAGAGAGGGGGGGUGGGGGGCAUGGUUUUUCUUGCUUGGGGGAAGGAAGAAAUGUGAGAAUAUAGGUAGGCAUUUAUUUCUUUUAACUUGCUAUCGUUAAUCUGUUGAAGAAGGUUGAUUUUUGUUAAAUCUUGGAAUGAAAUUGGAAGAAGUUCUUUACACUGGGGAUGGAGACAUGGCGAGAAGAUUAUCCGAGAAGGUUUUUGAUCAUUGUUUUUGUGAAGUGAGAGAUAAGAAGGGAUAAACGAGCGAUCUGUUACAAACACGAAAUUCUUUACAGAAAUUCAUUUUUUAUAUCUUAUUCUUAAGUUGCCCCUUUGUUCCUUCCCCCUUGCAAAUUAUGAGAAGUAGGUACCAGUAAAUCUGACUUAGGAAAGCCUUGGAAUAAUUUUUUUUCGCAAACCAUGUAAUUUCUGCUAAAUGUACUAUAGUUAUCCCAUGAAAAUUCAUGAUAAAGGGAUGUAAUUAUAAAUGUACGGAUUGAAUGUUAUGAGAUCAGAUAACAAUAAAAUAGUUACUCAAGAAAAGAGAGAAAUAAGAGAUGAAAGGGAAAAAUGAAGAAUUGAUCGGUAAAGAUGCUUUCUUCUGUAUAUUUGUCCAAGAUCAGGGAGUUUUUCUCCCUCUUGCAACAAGGACACAGAAUUAUCUUACCAAUUAGCGUUACGAAUUUCGGUGACAAGACUGAAACCUCUCAAGCAUCUGAAAGAUAUAUUUAACCCAAAAUUGUAUCAAAAUUUACAAACCUUGACAAUCUCUUUUAGAAAGCUACAACUAUGGGGAACUUAAACUUCUAAACACAUACCAACUUGUUGUCCUUUUUUUUCCCCUCCCCACAAAUAAGAUGCAUUAGAUUUAAAGAAUCCUCUUGACUCAUCCUGCAAGCAAAACUGAGCAGUUCCCACAUCUUAAGACUGCAAGAUUUACAUUUGUUUUUCUGGAGCAAUCUUAGUUGCCACAAAACAGUCAACUUUCAACUUUUGAAUGGUCUUUUAGUGUUUUACCAUGUCUCCUCAUUGGGACAAUGCAAAACUUAAUUGAAUAUUUUCCAACCGAAGUGGCACUCAGCCAAUAGAGUCUUCGCUUCCUAGUACACGGAAUCUGUCAUUUUUCUGCUGCUUUAGGGAUUACACUCUGAGACUCCAGAUCGUAAUAUGUGGUCUCUAGUGAGUUCUUAGUAUGGCUAUGGACCUUCUCAUUUGAAAACUUGUAUAUUUUUUUUUGGUUCAAAUGUUCUUAGUAAGAGACUCUUUGAUAAUUGCUGUCUCAUUAUUAAUAUUUCUACUAUAUAUCGCACCCCAACGAGAGAAACUGUGUUGAAAUUGAUAUCCCUUCAACCAACUGUAGAUUUGCCUCUUUUCACUAAAUUAUCAUUAGGUCUGUGGGAUACAUAUGAUCAGUUCAACUUCAAGAAGCUUGUGAUGGAUGGCUAUGAAACAAUGAAAUAUCUGGGAUUAUGUUUAUGGUCGACAUUGUGAUCCAAUAACAUCUAGUGCUUGUAACUGGGUGGAUGGAAGGAAAAUUAGAUGGAUAGUUAUGACCCAUCAAACAGUGAAAUAUUUAGAAUUUUAUUUUUGCCAUUAUUUAUGUGCAUUUUAUAACCCAUGUGAUGCAUGUAACCGAUACGAGAGGAAGGAUUAGUUUGUGAUGGCUUUGAUUCAUUAACCAAUGGAAAAGGGACUUUUGUUAUUAUCUUUUUUACUUUAUGUGGUUUGAUAAAUGUACUCGUAUUUUUGACUACUACAACAAUGUGAGUACUAGGACCAAACAGUAUACUUAUAAACAUUUCACAGCUAAGGUUCAGCAUCAAUUUUACCUUUAUAUGCUAGGCUAACACAUUAUAUAUAACAGAAAGAGAUUCACUACUCUUGAUGUUAUGGCUUCAUAUAAUGUUUCCUUUCGCAAUAGAAAUAUACCGUUUUGAUCUGAUUUGAUUGGAAUAACCGGAUGCUCUAGUUCUUUCUUUAUGUUUAAUUAUCAAAAUUGGAUCGGAAAUUUAUUGCUAAUUCUGGUUUUAGGAGAUAUCAAUGGAUAAUGAUUGAUGUUCUAGUAUACGAAGGGCAUGUUUUCAGGCGAGCCAUAUCGGUGGCUCAUCGGUACGGUUUAGCCAUUGAAAACAGCUUGCUGCCGGAGCCGGAGAAGGAGAAGAGAGAGAGAGCGAGUAGGGGAGGGAGGGUGAAGGCGGCGGACAGCAGCGGAGGCUGCGACUAAAAAAUUUGGGAUGUUUUAAGUGAAGUCGGCAAAUCAAUUGCCGACUUCACUUAAAAAAUUCCAAAUUAAAAAAUUUGGAAUUUUUAAGUGAAGUCGGCAAACGAUUUGCCGACUCACUUAAAAAAUUCCAAUUUUUUUAGCCGCGGCUCAGCCUCGGCCUCCACCACCCGCCUCGGCCUCCGCCACCCCCUGCAGCCCUCUAUUGGCAUCCACCGCCGCUUGUUCUCCCUCUCUUCCCCCUCUCUCUCUCUCUUAUUUUUCUCUUCUUCUUCUCCGGCUCUUGCGUUUUCUCUAUCGUACGGGCCUGGCAUGGCCCGUACCGACUUGUGCCGCUGGAGAAUCGGUACAGUUUUCGGUACCAGUUCCUCUGACCUUGGCGAAAGGGCAUAGAUUCAUCAAAUGUUUGAUGCUUAUGAAGCCAUGGGACUCUAAACUAGGAUUUUAGUUGUAUAUUUGUCAUUAAUUUCUAAAUUUUACUCUCAAGUGUUCCAAAAUCUUUUCCUUACCUCUAUGUCAUUACAUGCGCAGCAUGACUAUCACCAAGCUUCUGUCAAAGGCAAAGGUGUUAUUUGAACAACAUUCAAGUCUUAUCUUGGACUACAAUCCCUUCAUUUCUAGAUGGAAACCUGUCACAUUCGAGGAAUCCCUCAAAUUUGUAAGAAAAGUAAAGGUGAGAAACAUUUGGAAUAAAAUCUCCUUCUGAGUAAUCUAUGCUGCUGAGUGUAAAGGAAUUUAAACUAAUGAAGGAUUAAGAAUAAAAAAAAUUAACAAUAGCUCAGGGGGUGAUUAUAUGAAGAGUACAUAGUUGCACUUUUUCUAAUUUUUGUAUUAAAAAAAUUGGUAGCUAUUUUUCUGCAAUGCAUUUUUGCCUGGUUAAAGUAGAAUGAUGAAAGUGUUGCCAGUUAGGCUGGCCUGCAUCACUGCAUUUGUGUUAUUUGUUGGUCACAGUACUUGAACCAACAACCAUUAGCACUUCCUAGGGUAAUCACCCUAAGCCAUGUUGGAUGGUGUAUUCUUUCAAGAUAACAUAAGUUCCAGGUUAUGCUGAUUUUGUUAUUUGAACCCCAUUAUUCACUGAUCAAUGCAUAACCAUAGUUCAUCGUGAAAAUGAUAUGAGAUAGAACACAUUACCUUUUUAAAUUUUGCUAAAUCUAGAUUGAGAAGUCGAAGUAUAAUUGAAUUUUGAUACAAUUUUUUUACUUUUACAAUGCAUUAUAAGGUUUGACUAAACGGAUGCAAGUUCCAGUUUGUUAGAGAUUUGGCUUCAGUUAAAUAUGACAUCACAUGUUGCUUAUGACUGUAUCUUGAUGAAGUACCGAGUACUAAAGAUUUAUUAUUUUCAUCAGUGUCUUGCUUCACUCGUAUGAAAAUAUCCACCACCAUUAUCAGAUAGACAAAUUUCACAAUUUGUUUUCUUGUGUUCAAUGUUUAGCCCAACCUCUUCACAAUUGGGGCUGCAUGGUUAUUAUUUCCAUGUUUGACCUGCACAAGGGAUGCAUUUUACCUUUUCAUGAACUUGAUCAUGUUAAAUGGUAUCUUUACUGCAACAAAACCCAUGAUUUAAUUUCUUCUUCAUCCUCGCUAGUUUUUUGCUGGAACCUGUGCAUUUUUCUUACUGCUUUGAAACCAACAGUGAAAUUUUAGUAUCCUUAUUGUCAAUCAUAUGAUCAAUAUGAGCCUGAUCUUUUAAAUACAGGUUCAUCUUCUCUGCUACUCCAUUUUUUUUUCCAUAAAGCUCCACUCUGAAAUAAGUCACUGAGCCUAAGAAAACUGACAAAUCUGCAUGCUAAAGGCUCAAAUCAUUAUGUAUUUUACCUGUAUGGUCGAUUUAAAGGAUGAUAUCAGAUAUCUGGCUAUGUUGGUAUUAGCAUGAAUUGACCUUAAAUCGUUAUUGAGCUUGUGGAAGAUAAAAUGAAAAUGGGUACUCAUAAGUAUACUAUGCUACAUUUUGGGGGAAAACAUAAAUUUAACAUGUGUGAUGCAUGUAUCAGAUGCCAUUGCGUGCAAUAAGUGUCUGCUUAGGCCUUUCCUCUAACCUAGAGGACCCUAAAGGACCACUUAGCCGUUUAUUAUUGACCAAGGACAUAAAAUCAGCCUCUCAGAGAUUCAGAGGGGAUUUGUAUGGUGAGAAGAUUUUGGGGGCACUGCAUCUCUUACAUUUUAAUGGCAAUCAUGUCUGAUCUUUUUCUCUUUCUUUCCUCAAUUAGAAGACUGUGAAAGGGACUCCCCAACACUCACACUCUCAAAUUAAAUGGUCAGAUCAACUGCUUGAUAUCAGCUAUACAAAAAUUUGGUUUUGUGCUUAUCCUUUUGUCUUCAUUUAUUUUUUGCUUUCCUCCUUUUUUGGUUGCAGUAAUUUUUACCAGAAAAUAAAACUGGACAUACCUUUCAUAGAAUAGUGGAAGUGUUUGUGGUUGUGAUAUCAUUCUUAACUUAAUUGAAUGAUGGAUCUCAAACCAUCUAAUUUCUUUUCUUCUGACUUGCAUUGGUUCUGGCAGGCUCGUGAUUAUCAUUUGUAUUCGUCGUUGUUUGAGAUUCUAGGUCAGGAAAACACGUCCCCAGAAAUCUACCAACAGGUACACCGGAUGUGGUUAUCUCAAUGGCACUAUAUUUUUGUGUACUUAAAAUGUGUUUGCAUGCUGUAUUUGUUUUCUUUUGCAGCUUGUACUGCUUUUUCAGAACCACGAUGAUUUGCAAGUGGAGCUCAAACGUUUCAGACCACAAGCCCAAGCACGAUUUCUGGUUCCAUGGCUUGUGUUUCUUCUUCUGCCUCUAUCUGUCUUGAGCUUAUAUCUCAUCUUCUUUGAGAAACCACUGAGAUGUCUGUUAGAACACAACAUAAACAAAACUCCCUCAUUGUAAAAUCGAUUUUUAUUUAAUAAAUUAUUAAAUAAUCUUCCUGUAUAAUUGUUCGGUUGACUUGGUUUAAAGCUGCCUGGCCAAAGUAUCUAGUAUUAUCACUGCAUUGACUACUCCCCCCACAUUUAUGUGUUCGAUCGGAUUCAAGGAAGCACUCAUGCCAGUGGAACAUUUCAUCAGAUUGCCACAACACAGUUACCUUUAUCUAUUGAGGCCCUCGGAUAUAUUUUGCACACUUACAGAUCUCAAAGCAUCAAGUACAGCAGUCGAAGAUGGAAACUUCAAAGGUUGCAGACCAAACAACAGCAGUAUUAUGGACCUAACCGAGUUUCUGUGAAUGACCCAUUAUAUAUAUAUUGUCAUAACUAUCCCAAAAACUAUUUGGCUCAAAGACCAUUAUCUACCAGAAAAAAUGUCAUUCUUUAAUUUCAUCCUCUGGAAAUAGAUUCCGGGUUGACAGAGCCGGUUUAUAAUCUGUGUUUCUCAAGCUAUGGAACGCUUGGACUAGAUCUUUUUGUGGGUAUCAAGGUUUGAACUAACGGCUGCUGUGGUGACUUCAGAGCCCGCCAUUGUGUUAUAUAACAUAAACUCAGAUGAUGACUGUUAUUUAGCCUUCAUGUAAUUCUAACGGCGGUUAUAUGAUGGGAAUAGCAUCUAUUAUUUGGAUACCGCAUGUUUCUACUGCUCAUGUUCGGCCAGUAUGCUCUGGGACCAAAGGUGUAUAACCACGGGAUUUGUUGCCGAACGGAGGAAUCGGUUGAUUAUGGAGUUUAGUAGUUGUUUUUGGUGUAUGCAUAAUGAUUCAAAACGUUUUUCAUAUUUUUGAUCAAUUUAUACAAUUCGUCUCCAGUUUGAUCCUGAAACUGUCCAAAUCAUUGGGUCGGCAUGGUUUUUCUAAGCUCCAAGCUUAGAAAGGUCGAACAAGCUACGAGCUUAGAAAGGUCGAAUAAGCUACAAGCUAUAGAGGUUGGAUGGCGAGAGUGGUCAAUUGAAGCUCUAGUUAGAUGAAGAUGCUUGUAUGGCACUGGUCGUCCGACCUGAAAAUAAAUAAAAAGUCCACUUGCUGAAAGUUCUCCGGCGAAGAACCUUCCAAUGUCUAAGUCGGGUAGGAAUUUUGGAAAACAAUGAAAAUUUGAGAGAGAGUGGUCGCGAGUAAGUGAAAAAAGCGUAGAGAAAAAGUAUACCUGGAGCUCUCCUGAACGCUGCUUGUAUAGGGCGAGGGUCAGCACCAAUUACUGAGUGAGGUGAACAUGCACCUUAAUUACUCGAUAAUUACCCAUGUAUUACGCACGUCGGCUUAUCUACGAGUGAUCCUGGGCCAAGCUAUAACCAUCGCCCGUUGAAGAGAAUUUAAGUGGCUAUAUGGUGCCUUUGAUGAGGCCGCAUGGUGAACUUUCAUUGGUCAGUGAUGGUUGGAUUCGAGGCAUAUCAACAGGCAUUUAUAGGAUCCUCUUAGAGAUGGUCGAAAUAAGCCGCUUGAAGAUAUAUGCUGCAGCAUCUCGAACAUGGUGACUGGUUCUCGAGUGGAAAUUGUAGUCGAAUCGCCAAAUAAGUCUCUUUUGGGCAUCCAAGAUUUAUCUCCGGGUGAGAUUGUUCUCUAGCCACUAUAUCUGUAUCAAUAUAUCAUUUAUGCUGCCAUAACUAUAGUGAGGAACAAUUGUGCAUCCAUGCAUGCAUGGUAAACUUUUUAUUAAGUCACAUAUUUAGUGGUAAAUUUUAAUAUAUUGUGGACCUAUAUAAACAUUGAAAUCCUCUUUUUUUCCCUUAACUCAAAUCGUCAAGUUGUUGGAUAGUUAAGAUAGUUUGUUCUUUUGUUUCAUAUUUUUUGGGUUUCACUGGAGGGGAAAAAUAAUAAUAAAAAGAAGAAGAAGGAAAAAAAAAACAAGAAAACUUUCAGGUAUAAAGUUUAAUCGAGAAGGUUACCAAAAAAAAAUCUUCAAUCGAGAAGACAAUCUAUUGUCAAUUCAUCAUCGUAAUUUAUUGGCGAGGAUUUUCAUAGUAUACCAUGGGGAUUGUGGCGUGCUUUUGCAAGUGGGAAGAGGUCCUGCAUCUUCAUGACGUCCAAUUUUAGUGGCUCCACAUCGGUCUGCUCUUUUUUAUAAUUAUUAUUGGAACAGCUGUUCAUUUGUUUUACUUUGCAUUACCUAUAAAGAGGUUUAUACUACAUUUCAUCGUGGAUUAGUUCAUGCAUACUGAGACAGCAUAAACCCUUAAACUACCUCCAGAUAUGGGCAUUUGCUAUGUGGUUUGCUCAUAAGAUAAUCUGAAGAUAUUGUUCUUUGCUAUUAUAUGGGAAAAGUGGAAACUGGAUAUCUAAUCUUUCUAUCUGUUACAAAGUGCAUCAGAGUGCGAGCAUUGAAAAAAUAUCUAAUUGAGUGAUUCUGAGAAGAAGUUCUAGAGCCUCAUUGGAGACAGAAUGCACAUAUAUCACCUUUAUGCAUAUCACACUCAUUGAACAACUGAGUACUACUCCUGUUCUUCAUGUCAUGUUCCUCAAUGAAUGGUUGAGAUUUUUUGAUGAGCAGACAAGGUCUGUUCAUGACCAAUGCAUAUUAGUUUUCUGCAGGUAAAUGUAGCUAAUGUACAGCUUUUCUGAACAUCAUUCCAUCUAUACGUAUUGCACUGAUUCAGGAUAUACUUCUACAGGUAGAGAUAAUGCUGAAGAGUAAAAAAAAUUUUGUUUCCUGCUUGGAUGCUAUCUGGUUAUGUAAGAAAGGCGUUUGCAGAACAGUUUCUAAACUUAAUAUAAGCAUGGCAAUAUGGGCAUUCAUUUUACUUUUUAUUAUUUUUAGCUGAAAAUUCAAAAAGUAACUGGCCUCAAAACUAGUUACUUAUCACUCUUCUUGAUGUGACAAAACUGAGGGAGCCUUUUGUAAUUUUAGAAAGACCAUGAUGACAUUGGACACUAACUAUGGAUUCUUUGUAUUUGUUUCUGUAGGUUAUUAUGCCAAAGAGGUUGCCUCUUGAGCAGUUUCAGCACAUCCAUACUGGGAAUUUGCAAGCAACUGUGUAAGAACCUGAACUGAAACGCAAUCAUCUCUCAGCACUGUUAGUGACGCUUUAAGUGCUGUGGGUGAAACUUCGCGUAAGCCUGAAAGUAAAAGAUCAUCAGUUGGCGUUUUGUACCAAUUAUUUGCCCAAAAUUUUGGGCCAGCAUGAACAAUUGUAGUGCCGAAACCUGAGGAUAUUUGAUUUGACUACUGCAGAUAUUUUCUUCUACAAUUUCUAAUGUAGAAAAAUUCUCUUAUAAAAAUCAUGUGUUGCUAAUGUAGGUGGAUUGUAAUCCAGUUUACUUAAAUAUUUUCAUUUUAAUUUCUGGAUGACAAAUUGCAGCGUGUGCUUGUGUGUUCAUUUCGACCUGUUUGCUUGGGUGUUUCUGCUUCUGUUUUUCUCAAUGUUUUCUGAGCUUAUUCCCUGUUCUGAAAAAGCUAGGCUUUCACAACUACCAUAGUAGCUUAUAACCCUAUAUUCUCCGGGAGUGUCUCAGCUCAGAAGUUCAAAUAUUUUUGUUCCUCCAUCUGUUUUAUGUAACAUAGUAAAAUUACCACCAAACGCUUGGUUGCUUAUACAAAGAUACACACACGCACACAUGUGCGCGCUCUUGCGCGCAACACAUACAUACAUACAUAUACACACACAUACAUGUACAUGUAUGUAUAUAUGUGUGUAUACGCGCGCGUAUACACACAUAUACACACAUAUAUAUAUAUAUAUAUAAAUACAUAUAUAUAUACACAUAUAUAUACAUAUACAUGCAUACAUACAUACAUACCAACAUACAUAUAUAGACACACACAUAUGUAUACAUACGUACGUACAUACGUACGUACGUACAUACAUACACACACACAUGCCAGAGAACUUGGGCAAGGAUUGGAUUCUUGAUUAGAGACCAUGAGAGACAGGUGUAGUGUGCUGUUUCUGAGUACUUGCUCUCACUUGCUGGCAGCUGGGGAGGGUUCAUGGCGAUAUAGUUAUUUCUGAUGGGAUCCAAUACACUAGUAGUGAUAUGAUCGCAACCAAUAAUAUAGUUAUUCUUUUUUUUUUGACACAAUGACAAUAUAGUUAUUUCAUCCUAAUCAAAGUUGCCAAUGGCUAGGGACAAGAAUUUCUGCUUCCCCUUCAAAGCAACCAAGAACCAGCCCAGCCAACACACAUAAUAAGUUACCUGUUUAUUUGAUCAUAGCAUGGUUAUACAAUUACUACUAUUUAUCUAACAGUGGUACUCAUCACUGCCUUCAUUUCACUAGGCCAAGCCAAACAUCCAACAUACAUCCAAACUGAAACAGUUCAGGACAUAAGCAUCACCAUAGUAGUAAGAAAACCAAAAAAAAGAGAGAAAGAAAGCAUCUAAAAGGAAGAAAGAAAAGUCUUCGAUAUAACUAGAGUCCAUGUGGGAUGUCCCAACUACAUAGCUGCUUCCCCUAAUUUUUAGCUGCUGGUUUGCUACUCUUAGCCUGCUUGAACAUAAAACCAAAAAAGAUCAGAACUCCAAUAUAGAAGCGAAUCCCUACAUCCACCCAUAAGCCUCUAUUUAAUUCUAAUAUCAGCUAUAAAUAUUACGUCAAAUUGAUUCCUUUAAAAACUUUGCUGAGAAGGAGGAGAAAAAAUUUCAAUACUUCAUGAGGUUGCCUUCUCUGAAUCGGUUUGAACAGUCCUAUGAGACCGUUUCAAACCGUAAUUUAAUUUGGAAGAAGGGAAGCAUGCAACAAGGCCGUGUUUACCUUCUUCUUGGGCUCGCGGGGCUUCUGCUCGGCCUUUUUGGGGGCCUGCUUGGAGGCCGGAGCCUUGGGUGCGCUGUCCCCUACCUUGAGCUGCGUCAUGGGCCCAGAAGGCUUUGCAGCCUUCAAGGAAGCCAUUUCCUCGGACACGAGCGAAGGCUAAGAAGCUUAGAAGUAGGUGGUGCUUGGCUUGGGUACUUCGAAGUUGCCAGGGGGAUGGUAUUUAUAGCAGAGGCUUGGUACUACAAAC
rnacentral:lncRNA from 1 species